UACGUAGGGUGCAAGCGUUAAUCGGAAUUACUGGGCGUAAAGCGUGCGCAGGCGGUUUUGUAAGUCUGUCGUGAAAUCCCCGGGCUCAACCUGGGAAUUGCGAUGGAGACUGCAAGGCUGGAGUCUGGCAGAGGGGGGUAGAAUUCCACGUGUAGCAGUGAAAUGCGUAGAGAUGUGGAGGAACACCGAUGGCGAAGGCAGCCCCCUGGGUCAAGACUGACGCUCAUGCACCGAAAGGCGUGGGGAGCAAACAGG
rnacentral:rRNA from 1 species